rnacentral:rRNA from 1 species
AGAGUUGAUCCUGGCUCAGAACGAACGCUGGCGGCAUGCCUAACACAUGCAAGUCGAACGAGACCUUCGGGGUCUAGUGGCGCACGGGUGCGUAACGCGUGGGAAUCUGCCCUUGGGUUCGGAAUAACAGUUAGAAAUGACUGCUAAUACCGGAUAAUGUCUUCGGACCAAAGAUUUAUCGCCCAGGGAUGAGCCCGCGUAGGAUUAGCUAGUUGGUGAGGUAAAAGGGCUCACCAAGGCGACGAUCCUUAGCUGGUCUGAGAGGAUGAUCAGCCACACUGGGACUGAGACACGGCCCAGACUCCUACGGGAGGCAGCAGUGGGGAAUAUUGGACAAUGGGCGAAAGCCUGAUCCAGCAAUGCCGCGUGAGUGAUGAAGGCCUUAGGGUUGUAAAGCUCUUUUACCCGGGAUGAUAAUGACAGUACCGGGAGAAUAAGCCCCGGCUAACUCCGUG